UCAAAUGAAUUGACGGGGCCCGCACAAGCGGUGGAACAUGUGGUUUAAUUCGAAGCAACGCGAAGAACCUUACCAGGUCUUGACAUCCCGAUGCUAUUUCUAGAGAUAGAAAGUUACUUCGGUACAUCGGUGACAGGUGCUGCAUGGCCGUCGUCAGCUCGUGCCGUGAGGUGUUGGGUUAAGUCCCGCAACGAGCGCAACCCCGCCGUUAGUUGCCAGCGGUUCGGCCGGGCACUCUAACGGGACUGCCCGCGAAAGCGGGAGGAAGGAGGGGACGACGUCUGGUCAGCAUGGCCCUUACGGCCUGGGCGACACACGUGCUACAAUGCCCACUACAAAGCGAUGCCACCCGGCAACGGGGAGCUAAUCGCAAAAAGGUGGGCCCAGUUCGGAUUGGGGUCUGCAACCCGACCCCAUGAAGCCGGAAUCGCUAGUAAUCGCGGAUCAGCCAUGCCGCGGUCGAAUACGUUCCCGGGCCUU
rnacentral:rRNA from 1 species